rnacentral:misc_RNA from 1 species
AAGUCGUAACAAGGUUUCCGUAGGUGAACCUGCGGAAGGAUCAUUAACACGUAUCCAACGUUAAACCCCCCUGUGAACUUUUACACUUGCUCUCGUGGCCUUCAAUCAUUGUUGAACAGAUUUUGAUUCAGGGACCUCAGUUUGGUAGGUUUCGAUGGAGCGAUCGUUGCAAGUGACAUGUCUGAAAGUGUCAUUGUUGUGGAAGGAUAACGCUUUACGAUCACUGGCCGAACACCGGCUAGUGGACGGGUCGCAGCGGCUUCGGCCCCCCCAUAUUCACCCCACUACCAGAACUCGCCUCGUAGGAAACAGCUGGGCAACAAAACGAACAACUGUUAACAAUGGAUAUCUUGGUUCUC